rnacentral:rRNA from 1 species
AUGAUUUUAGUGCUUGCACUAAAUGAAACUAGGAGUACAAGCGAGCGGCGGACGGGUGAGUAACACGUGGGUAACCUGCCCAAGAGACUGGGAUAACACCUGGAAACAGAUGCUAAUACCGGAUAACAACACUAGACGCAUGUCUAGAGUUUGAAAGAUGGUUCUGCUAUCACUCUUGGAUGGACCUGCGGUGCAUUAGCUAGUUGGUAAGGUAACGGCUUACCAAGGCAAUGAUGCAUAGCCGAGUUGAGAGACUGAUCGGCCACAUUGGGACUGAGACACGGCCCAAACUCCUACGGGAGGCAGCAGUAGGGAAUCUUCCACAAUGGACGAAAGUCUGAUGGAGCAACGCCGCGUGAGUGAAGAAGGGUUUCGGCUCGUAAAGCUCUGUUGGUAGUGAAGAAAGAUAGAGGUAGUAACUGGCCUUUAUUUGACGGUAAUUACUUAGAAAGUCACGGCUAACUACGUGCCAGCAGCCGCGGUAAUACGUAGGUGGCAAGCGUUGUCCGGAUUUAUUGGGCGUAAAGCGAGUGCAGGCGGUUCAAUAAGUCUGAUGUGAAAGCCUUCGGCUCAACCGGAGAAUUGCAUCAGAAACUGUUGAACUUGAGUGCAGAAGAGGAGAGUGGAACUCCAUGUGG